rnacentral:rRNA from 1 species
UUCUUCAUGCUACUCUGAACGAGCCCGAUCUCAUCUGAUCUCAGAAGCUAAGCAGAAUCGGGCCUAGUUAGUACUUGGAUGGGAGACCACUUAGGAAGAACAGGUGCUGUAGCAU